rnacentral:rRNA from 1 species
AACGUAGGACGCAAGCGUUAUCCGGAGUUACUGGGCGUAAAGGGUGCGUAGGCGGCGCGGUAAGUCGGGUGUGAAAUCUCGGAGCUUAACUCCGAAACUGCAUUCGAUACUGCCGUGCUUGAGGACUGGAGAGGAGACUGGAAUUUACGGUGUAGCGGUGAAAUGCGUAGAUAUCGUAAGGAAGACCAGUGGCGAAGGCGGGUCUCUGGACAGUUCCUGACGCUGAGGCACGAAAGCCAGGGGAGCAAACGGG